AUGAUGGAACUCUGGGCACGUGUCAGAGAGGGAGCACUUCCCUAACCAGAAAUGAGCUAAACUGAACAUUUCCAGGGCAGAUCUGGAGGUCUGAAGCCUGCACAACCUCACCUCCAUCCUAUCUUAAGCCUAGCUGAUGCCCUGUAGGAUCACGUCAUGAAAGACUACUUGGAAACUAUAUUAUCAGUGAGAUUUGAGUUUCUACCUGAUAUCAUUUCCCUCAAGCCUUCAAUAGGUCUGCAGAUGAUGAGUUCCCUUAGCUGUAUCCCUGGAAACAAAUCUAGGUUGACAAUUCUUUCUUUUUUCUGCCCCUUUAGAAGUCAUCCAGAUCCUAAUGGAGAACCUAAAAGUCCUUCUGCUGCUGCUGCUGCUGCUAAGUCGCUUCAGUCAUGUCCAACUCUGUGAGACCCCAUAGAUGGCAGUCCAAUAGGCUCCCCCGUCCCUGGGAUUCUCCAGGGAAUUUGAUCAGAAAACUUGAAGUCUGCCAGGAAUAUUUUUCGAGAGAAGAAGACCUUUGACAAAGCGUGGGUGAAGGCGGUGAUAAGAAACAAAGCAACAACAUGUCGCGUUUGAUCCUGUCACGUUCAGACUUCCCCACAAACCAGGUCCACAUGAAUAGGAAUAGGUCUGAAGGGUGUACAGCUGGGUAUCAGCACCGGGACAAGCCUCAUGAAAGUCUGAAACAUCGGAACACCACCUCAGAGCCAGG
rnacentral:lncRNA from 1 species